rnacentral:rRNA from 1 species
UACGUAGGGGGCAAGCGUUGUCCGGAUUUAUUGGGCGUAAAGAGCGUGUAGGCGGCCAGACAGGUCCGUUGUGAAAACUCGAGGCUCAACCUCGAGAUGUCGAUGGAAACCGUCUGGCUAGAGUCCGGAAGAGGCGAGUGGAAUUCCUGGUGUAGCGGUGAAAUGCGCAGAUAUCAGGAGGAACACCGAUGGCGAAGGCAGCUCGCUGGGACGGUACUGACGCUGAGACGCGAAAGCGUGGGGAGCAAACAGG